rnacentral:rRNA from 1 species
AUUGAACGCUGGCGGCAGGCCUAACACAUGCAAGUCGAACGAGUGGCGGACGGGUGAGUAAUGUAUGGGAAACUGUCUGAUGGCGGGGGAUAACUACUGGAAACGGUAGCUAAUACCGCAUACCAUCGGAUGUGCCCAGAUGGGAUUAGCUUGUUGGUGGGGUAACGGCUCACCAAGGCGACGAUCCCUAGCUGGUCUGAGAGGAUGACCAGCCACACUGGGACAGAGACACGGUCCAGACUCCUACGGGAGGCAGCAGUGGGGAAUAUUGCACAAGAGGCGCAAGCCUGAUGCAGCCAUGCCGCGUGUAUGAAGAAGGCCUUCUGUUUGUAAAGUACUUUCAGCGGGGAGGCGUUACCCGCAGAAGAAGCACCGGCUAACUCCGGGCCAGCAGCCGCGGUAAUUC